rnacentral:lncRNA from 1 species
UGCAUGUACAGCUAUGUAGGCCUGCGCAUACAAGAGUGCAAGCAUGCUACCUCACGCAAAGUGACUGACACGAAUGCGCACAAGCAUGCAUGAGGCCAUGCUGCAGGUAUGGCAAAUGCAACAUGCGCACACCUUCCCCCAUGCGUGCGUGCGCGCAUUCAUGCAAUCACGGGGACGUGAACGCCUGGGCUGCUUUUUCCGUAGGUCCACAAGAUUUCUACCGUUUUCU